rnacentral:rRNA from 1 species
UGGGGAAUAUUGGACAAUGGGGGAAACCCUGAUCCAGCAAUGCCGCGUGAGUGAUGAAGGCCUUCGGGUUGUAAAGCUCUUUUAUCAGGGACGAUAAUGACGGUACCUGAGGAAUAAGCUCCGGCUAACUUCGUGCCAGCAGCCGCGGUAAUACGAAGGGAGCUAGCGUUGUUCGGAAUUACUGGGCGUAAAGGGCGCGUAGGCGGUUUGUUAUGUCAGAUGUGAAAGCCCCGGGCUUAACCUGGGAACUGCAUUUGAAACUGGCAGACUAGAGAUCGAGAGAGGAAAGUGGAAUUACAAGUGUAGAGGUGAAAUUCGUAGAUAUUUGUAAGAACACCAGUGGCGAAGGCGACUUUCUGGCUCGAUACUGACGCUAAGGCGCGAAAGCGUGGGGAGCAAACA